rnacentral:rRNA from 1 species
GAUGAACGCUGGCGGCGUGCCUAAUACAUGCAAGUCGAGCGAACGGACGAGAAGCUUGCUUCUCUGAUGUUAGCGGCGGACGGGUGAGUAACACGUGGAUAACCUACCUAUAAGACUGGGAUAACUUCGGGAAACCGGAGCUAAUACCGGAUAAUAUUUUGAACCGCAUGGUUCAAAAGUGAAAGACGGUCUUGCUGUCACUUAUAGAUGGAUCCGCGCUGCAUUAGCUAGUUGGUAAGGUAACGGCUUACCAAGGCAACGAUGCAUAGCCGACCUGUGAAGGUAUACGGCCACACUGGAGCUGCAUGAAGGUCCCGCGUCCUUCGUGAGGAAGCAGUAGAGAAUAUGCCGCAAUGAGAGAAAGCCUGACGGAAGAAGUCGGAGAGAGUGUUAAAUGUCUACGGAUCGUAAAACUCGGUUAUAAGGGAGGAAUAUAUGUGUAAGUAACUGUGCACAUCUGGAAGGUACAUAAUCAGAAAGCCAGGUUAAACUCAGUA